CACCAAGAUGAUCUCUUUCAAAAGAACUGCAGGAGAAGUUUCUAAAACACUGUGAAUGGUACGGAGCAAAGUCGACCAGGCUUCGUUAUAGAAAGCAAUGAUAACAGAGGUGGUAGGAAGUGUCCUAUAGUUGAACUUCUGGGACUUACACUCAUACAUUCUUUUAUCCUCUAUGUGUCGAUGCAGGGAAAUCCUGUCACUGAGGUAAAUAUUGAUGGCGUAUCUCUCAAUGAGUUCUUCUUGCUGCUUCAGUUCAUCCUCGUUGAGCUGGAGUUUGCUGGCUUUCCCCCACUCCCCAAGUGCACGGGAAUCUGCAGGGGGCUUCUUAUAAAGCGGUCGAGACAAAUCCUCCGUAUUUUUCUGGAGGUCUGAGAGCCUUCUUGACCCCAGCUCCCUGGCACGGCCGGCUCCUGCGGAGGCAUGAAAAGUAGAGACCAAGAGCUCCACGAAGAUAUAGGCCACUGUUAAAAACGCCAGCAGCAGGCAGCUCUUGCCUGCCCAAGUCCACCUCACCGCCAUCCGGAUUCUCAGGGCUGAGGCGCAGACGCGGCCACCAAGCCACCACGCAGGGGAAGGGCGGCGGAACCCACAGCUCGAGCUCAGGUGAUUCUGACGCAGGCGCUCCACGGAAACCCUCCGAGAAUUCUGGGGGCCGUGGGGCCGCCCAGCUCAGUCCGGAGCUCCGGAACUCGGGGAAGAGCGUCCGGGAGCCGGGUCUGGGUUCCGCACUCCGUCCGCCCCGAUGGCAGAGAGUGAGAUACGGACGCCCCGGGACGAGGGGCUCAGGACCCGGCUACGGACACCUGCCUCCAUCUCCCUCCAGAUAACACAAGUGUGAAGAGAGGGGAGAGCAGCAAAGGCUGAGCUGCGUGUGCCUGGUCCCUUCCAGACUUUCCAGAUAACUUUGCCCCACGGAGGACAAGGAAAGCCAAAAGAGAGAAGCCAGGAUUGUUAGUCUUGGAAAAUGCCUCCAUAUAGAAACAUGAGCCGGAGAAUAAAUCACUUGCCUCUCUAACCAGUUGGAUUUGGUCCGUGAGUUCCUAGUUUUGUUCACCUGACUUAGUCCCUGACUUUUAAAGUCAAGUGCAUCAACAUGCUGCCAGUACUUUGAUGAACAUCUAUACAGGAUCCAUCUCUACAGCAGUGAAUUCCACCUGGGGUAAAGUAUGCAUGUAGGUUAGGAUGCUACAGUGGGACUCUGUCUGCUUUUUCUGUCUGUUUCUGCUAAGGCCUCCACACAUUAGAUGGUCAGUACUCUUUGUUCUAUGGGAAGGGCUAGAAUACCUAAACAGGACUUUCA
rnacentral:lncRNA from 1 species